CCAGAGCAAGGGAGGAAGCCGGUUUGAGGAAAGUGUAAUUACAAUCCCUGGAUCAGAAGUACCUCAGUCGCCACCAAAGCACAGUUUGUGGUGGAAUAACUUAAAGAAAAUUGAAGCUUAGCUGGGCUGACUGCCAACCCCGGCAGGAGAGGCAACUGACCCGCACAGCAGGAGAGUAUAUUUGUUUUUUGUUUUGUUUUUUAAAGACUUAAUUAAAAUAAACUGGGCGAACUAAUGUUGAACUGAUUAUGUGAGAUUUCCCCCCCAUGAAGACUAAUGAACCAUUUAUGACCACCCUAUAUAGCCAAGUAGAGAAGUGAAAAAUGGAAGUUUUGGUAUAUUUUAGAUGUCAGUAAUACUAUUAUUUCGGUACAUAAAGCCUACCAAAACAAUGAAUUACUUACAUUUAUUUAUUUGCAUAAAUCAUCAAUAUUUACAUUUUCUUUAAGCAUUUCUUCUUUCUAUCAAAGCAAAUGUUUUAGUUUUACUAUAAGUAGAUUGUAGAUAUUUGCUACUGUAAAUAUUGUAUUUACUAGAUUGUAAAUAAUCUAGCUUUUUCCAGAGCUAAAAAAGAGAUUAUUCUGUAAAAAUGUACACUACUAUAAUUAGAAACAUUUAGAAAGAAAGAUGUCUUUAUAGAAAGACUCUGUACAGUAAGUGCCAUAGAUACAAAUCCACAUACAGUCACAGCACUGUUUGCUCACUAGAUGGGGCUAAAUACACAUGCUUCAUUUUCUCUCCAAUUCUGCCCACUGUUGAACUGGUUGUUAUGCUUACUUACAUCUACCCAUUGCUUUGAAGCAAUUAUUCAUGUUAAGGCAAAUUUCUUCCUAACACAUAAUUGUUAUUAUUAAUUAAUUCCUAUUGAUUAAUUAAUUGCUAUUGAUUUCAUGGGAUUUAUUUAUCUGUGUACUUUGCAUCAAGCCUUACAACUCCACCCACAAUUCAAGUAAAAGCAAACACAUAAUUGUUCAAUGAAGCUCACUGGAUGACCUUGGACCAGUCACUAGCUCUCAGCCCAACAUAUCUCACCGGGCUGUGAGGAUAAAAUUACGGAGCAGGGAGCAUGUAUGCUGCUCUGAGCUCCUUGGAAGAGGAAUGGGAUAAUAUGUAAUAAAUGAACAAAUAAUGCCAUAAAUGGAAAUAAAUGGGAAGUGCAACAGCUGACCCUAAAUAUUCUGACACCAUAGCCCUGUUCAACAUUACCUGAAUACAAUACAGGGGAAAUGGACAUUUUUAAGAUAGCCUCACCUAUGCACUCCAUAGACACACUGUCAGCUCUCUCUGGCUACAAUGUUUGUCUGCAGAGCAAAACACUGGCCUUGGGAAGAGUUUCUUCCUGUGAUCUGGAAUGCUGGUCACCCAGAAUUCCACAUGAGAGUCAGGAACUCUUCCAGGGUACAUCAUUGCCUCUGCAGGCUUGAGUUGGAAGGGCAUAGGACUAGCUGGGAUGCUCUUGUUACACAGUACACAGUAGCCCACCCAAUUCCCAUGCCAAUGCAUUCCAUGCCCAUGGCUCUCACUGCAUACCCAUGUACAGUAACAGCAGCACAUGACUUGUAUAGGUACAUGACUUGUAUAUUAUUACCCAUGGUGUUGCACCUCAUCUUUCAAAUACAAUAUCCAACAUCCAGGUGAAAUCACUCAUGAGUGGUCACACUGAAAUUCAUCAGACAAAUUAAUCUAUCAAUUUCAAUGGGACUACUCAUGAGUAAUUCAGUCUGGAUGUCAGCCAGUGGCUUCAACCCCCAAUUCAGUUCUCCUUGCAUGAAGCCUCACUGAUUUCAACAGCAAUUAGCAAGUUAAGCAACACACAAGAUGUGCAGUGAUUCCCCCACCCCUGUGCUUUCUUUUCAAUGAGGUGGGCCAGUUUUACAAUAGAUCACAAAAGUUAUUAUUAAAGCCACAUCACUUAAAAUACCUAAGAAGAUUUAUUUUCUGCAUUACAUGAGGAGUUUGUGUUCUCCGCAUAUAGUCAUAAUUGUUAAAGUAUAUUUUAUUUUUCAAAAUCUUAUCACAUUUUACAGCACAGCAGCCACUCUGUUUAAUUCCCAUGAGAACCUGGCCUCAAACUGUUGUGCUAUCUCUAAAUCUCAAAGUUCAGUCACAAAAUUAGGGGUUUUUUUACACAUUCAAUCUACUCUGAGAUAAUUUCAAGAAAACUGUAGUUACAAAUUAUUUUAGGAGGCCCGUUUGGGAUGAAUAUUCAUCAAGGAGAGAUAAGCUCCAGCUUAAAGCAAGAGAUCCUUGUGAGAAGCAGCAAAGAAAGCCUCACAACUAGGCUCCUACCAUUGCCAAAACAUCUACCAAAAAUGAGAUGCAAUGGUUGAUGGAGCAUCAAGGGAAAUGCUCCUCUCGGAAGCAUCGAAUUGGCUUGGGUACCAGCGUUCAAGACAGCUUGAUGGGACAGGGAGCGGCUCCCUUAAAAAGCAGGUAAGGAGCUCCUUACCUGCUUGUCCCAUGCCUCACCACUUUUAUGCCAGUGGCACCUGCUCUACAGAUGGUCAUGUGGGACUGUGGAGCUGUUUCCUGCGCCUUCCAUAUGGUGUUAGCACAUACAUGGCCAGCACACCAUGCUGACCAUUCAAAUGGCUGGAGCACAUGCCCACGAUGCCUGGAGGAUGCAGGGGAAAGAGCUACAGCCCUGUGUGACCAUUUGGAGAGUGAGCGCCACUGGCAGAAAAGCAAUGGGGUGGGGACUAGCAGGUAUGGAGCUCCUUACCUGCUUUUUAAGGGACCUGCUCCCCACCCUUAUUCACAUCCCUACAAGGAAGGAAAUGAACAGUCAUAGCAGGGAGCAAGAACAGUCGUGGCAGGGGAUAUUUUGUCCCUCCAAAUAUCAUUACUGUUCUGGAAACACAAAAGGCUUACCUAAGAUCAACUGUGGGCACAUCUAAAUUCAGUGUUGCACUAGAUUUGAAGGGAGUGUUGAAAAUAUUCUGAUAUACUGCCACGGGUGCUCAUUUACAGAGGGAUUAACAAUAUCUCAGUAAAGUCCAACUGCUGUAUUAAACUUCCCGUGUGACUUUUCCUAAAUCUCUUAAUCAUUCUCAUUCUCAGGCUUAGUUUUUCAUCAUUAAAAUAUGAGUAAUACUUCCAGUCUUCUACCAUGUAGUUGCCUUUAGGCAAGGGAGUGUCUUUUAACAAGGAUUUGUACCUGCUUUAUACCAAUGAUCUUGACCAAGGACUUGUGAAAUUUCCACAAUGAGAAUUAGAAAAUAGUGACUAAAGCCAGCCAUUUCACCAUGUCAGCAAGCCUUCUAACAUUCUGAUAGUCAGAUUAUAUUAUAUUUCACUUAUUAUCUUUACCACACAUUGCUCUUCUGUCUGAUGUUUUCAGAUGGGACAUGUUCUAUUUUCUGUCUGAUGCUUUCAGAUAAAUCUACUUGCUUUGUUACAGGAGAGGGAACAAAACAUUUGUACAUGCAGUACUGUGAUUGGAAAAGAGACGCAGAUUAACCAACUGCAGCAUGCUUUCAGCAGUUGCAAACCUGAGAAGACAUUCAAGCAACAGCAAAUUACAGAUGUCAAUCAGAGAUAUGGAAAUCGCCACACAUUCCCCAAACCUACAGAAAAUCCAACUUGUGCCAGAAUAUACUGAAGCUUGCUGUUCCAGGCUGGUCUCUCAUCUUCUACAUCAGACCCUUCUUCCACAUCUACAUCUUUG